rnacentral:rRNA from 1 species
AUGGUCCCUGAGGUUAUGACUGGCGCGAUACUCUGGCAACAGAGUCGCCGGAUGCCGGAAUGUUGGUCAACACUUGAUCAUUUAGAGGAAGUAAAAGUCGUAACAAGGUUUCCGUAGGUGAACCUGCGGAAGGAUCAUUACCGAUGAUAUUCGUCCAACAACUACACAGUUGUACCUUGUGAACCGUACCAAACUAUUCAGGGGUCGGCUUGUCCGUUAAAUGGUCGUCGGACGCGAGAGAUCGCGGCCGCUCGACCGGCCCCGCACGCGUUUUGUUUUUUUUAUAAACAUAUGUGUACCUGUCUGACACAAGCAGUUGCGGCCGGCCCAUAGGGUCGGUCGCGGCAAUUAGAGCAAAGUAAACGAGAUACAACUUUUGACGGUGGAUCUCUUGGCUCACGAAUCGAGUGAAGAAUCGCAGCCAGCUGCGAUAUAGAGCAUGUCUGUCUGAGUGUCGGAUAUCAUCCAACGCACGCCAGCGUGCGGAAUUGAGGCGUCACGGUCCGUACUGCACGGACCGUGUCCCUUGAAAGUCAGAGAGACUCGCCGCGUCGCGGGAAGAUUCCCCGUGCACACCAGCGGAGGCUAAAAUGUCUUUUGCCCUUCGCGUGCCGGGAAGUCGCCGCGUGCGGCGGUCGUCGUCGGGCGAACUUUAAUUAUCUUGACCUCAGAUCAGGCAAGGCUACCCGCUGAAUUUAAGCAUAUUAAUAAGCGGAGGAAAAGAAACUAACAAGGAUUCCCUCAGUAACGGCGAGUGAAGCGGGACCAGCUCAAAUUUGAAAUCUCCGAUGCCUGCAUCGGCGAGUUGUAGUUGCGAGAAGCACUUUCUAGGUGGAUCGGUCGUGCCUAAGUUGCUUGGAACAGCACGUCGCAGAGGGUGACAACCCCG